GCUAGAAUAGUUUAUUUUAAAAUAUUGAUUUGUGGGGUCAAGGAAAUAAUUUUUAUUUUUAGCA
rnacentral:tRNA from 1 species